GACAGAGGGUGCAAACGUUGUUCGGAAUUACUGGGCGUAAAGCGUGUGUAGGCGGCUUUGCAAGUCGGAUGUGAAAGCCCCGGGCUCAACCCGGGAAGUGCACUCGAUACUGCAGAGCUUGAGUGUGGGAGAGGUUGGUGGAAUUCUCGGUGUAGAGGUGAAAUUCGUAGAUAUCGAGAGGAACACCGGCGGCGAAGGCGGCUUCCUGGACCGACACUGACGCUGAGGCGCGAAAGCUAGGGGAGCAAACGGG
rnacentral:rRNA from 1 species